rnacentral:rRNA from 1 species
UACAGAGGGUGCAAGCGUUGUUCGGAAUUAUUGGGCGUAAAGCGCGUGUAGGCGGCUUUGCAAGUCGGGUGUGAAAGCCCUCAGCUUAACUGAGGAAGUGCGCCCGAAACUGCAGAGCUUGAGUACCGGAGAGGAUGGCGGAAUUCCCCAAGUAGAGGUGAAAUUCGUAGAUAUGGGGAGGAACACCGGUGGCGAAGGCGGCCAUCUGGACGGAUACUGACGCUGAGACGCGAAAGCGUGGGGAGCGAACAGG